rnacentral:rRNA from 1 species
AGAGCGAACGCUGGCGGCAGGCCUAAUACAUGCAAGUCGAACGGAUCCUUCGGGAUUAGUGGCGGACGGGUGAGUAACACGUGGGAACGUGCCCUUUGGUUCGGAACAACUCAGGGAAACUUGAGCUAAUACCGAAUGUGCCCUUCGGGGGAAAGAUUUAUCGCCAUUGGAGCGGCCCGCGUCUGAUUAGCUAGUUGGUGAGGUAAAGGCUCACCAAGGCGACGAUCAGUAGCUGGUCUGAGAGGAUGAUCAGCCACACUGGGACUGAGACACGGCCCAGACUCCUACGGGAGGCAGCAGUAGGGAAUCUUGCGCAAUGGGCGAAAGCCUGACGCAGCCAUGCCGCGUGAAUGAUGAAGGUCUUAGGAUUGUAAAAUUCUUUCAGCGGGACGAUAAUGACGGUACCCGCAGAAGAACGCCCGGCUAACUUCGUGCCAGCAGCCGC